UACGGGGGGGGCAAGCGUUGUUCGGAAUUACUGGGCCUAAAGGGCUCGUAGGCGGCCAACUAAGUCAGACGUGAAAUCCCUCGGCUUAACCGGGGAACUGCAUCUGAUACUGGAUGGCUUGAGUUCGGGAGAGGGAUGCGGAAUUCCAUGUGUAGCGGUGAAAUGCGUAGAUAUCUGGAGGAACACCGGUGGCGAAGGCGGCAUCCUGGACCGACACUGACGCUGAGGAGCGAAAGCCAGGGGAGCAAACGGG
rnacentral:rRNA from 1 species